rnacentral:misc_RNA from 1 species
GAACGCACAUUGCGCCCUUUGGCAUUCCGAAGGGCAUGCCCGUUCGAGCGUCAUUACACCAAUCAAGCCUGGCUUGGUAUUGGGCGUCGGGAGACCCCGCGCCCCUAAUUCAUCGGCUGGACGGUUCGAAUCUCAGCGUUGUGGUCAUUCAAUUCGCUGGCGAGGACGACCGGACGCGCCGUUAAACCUCUAUCACAGGUUGACCUCGGAUCGGGUAGGGAUACCCGCUGAACUUAAG